rfam:Piscirickettsia salmonis strain PM15972A1, complete genome.
GGGGACGACAUGGCUUCGACGUGGAUUGCAAAACUUAAGGGGCAUGCCGAGUGAUGAUAUCUACACUCGUUAAUCAGAGAUAUUACUUUUAUAAUUGGCGAAGCUAAAGCUGCCAACGAUGAUGUAGUAGUUGCUAACGAUGCAAUCGUUGCAAAAACUACUGCAAUUGCUGCCUAAACACCAGCUCAUCGACGUUGCCUGAGUUUGCUUAUAGACCCAGAUUUUCAACGUUCACCUUAAUAUAAGCUCGCGCUUUAAUGUGUCUGUGCAUUAAACGCUAAAACUAAAGCAGACUCGCAAGGUGGUGCCAUGUUUGCCGGGCUAAACCAAGUUAAACACAGUAGGUGAACUAAGCAUGUAGAUCCGAGAGUGGAGGGUUUACGGACGCGGGUUCGAUUCCCGCCGUCUCCACCA